GGGGCGCUUCGAUGGUCUCGACUGCCGGUCUGAUACACCGUGCAGCUCCGGGUUCGAUUCCCGGGCGCUCCA
rnacentral:tRNA from 1 species